GCAGAGCUCGCCCGGAAGUAGCGUUGCGCGCGCAGAGGAUGGGCGCUGAGCAGCACACAGCCCGCGGCAGGGUCUCAGGAUCCGCGGCGCUGCCCGGGGCCGGGGGAAGGAAGCCAGCCGAGGAGACGCACGUGCCCUGAGUCCGGGAGCGGGGAGCCUCUUCAUCUCUCCAUCCUCCCUCCGCGCGCGCCCUCAGCCGUCGUCGUCCGCUCACCAUGCACCUCUCCCCCAGAAAGGGCCACAUGCGUGCCAGGGACGCGAGCCCCGGCCACAGGGACCUAGCAGCCUAGAAGGUAUACCAGGAACACUUAAUCAACAUCCUGCAUGGUUCCAGCAAAGACGUUAAGACAGUUGGGACUGUUGGUGAGGACAGAUGAUCUUCACGAACCCUCUGACUCUAAGAGCCUGGGAGACCUGCUGGAGUUUACCCCACAUUCCCUUAAUUAAAAAGCCAUUAAAAUAAUCAACUUUGCUGGGCAUGGUGGCUCGCGUCUGUAAUUCCAGCAAUUUGGGAGGUCAAGGCAGGAGGAUUGCUUGAGCCCAAGAGUUAAGACCAGCUUGGGCAACAUGAGACGGGGUUUCGCCAUGUUGUUCAGGCUGGUCUCAAACUCCUGGCCUCAAGGAUUAGCACAGUUUUUAAUGCCACUUCCUUUCCUCCAGUCUGCUCACUGGCCUCAGAAGUGAGCAUGAGUGACACCUGUGUGUAGCACAGGGGCUGCCAAACAGCCCCCACUGACACGGGCUCAGAACUUCACCAGCUUUAUGAAUGAGGCAUUUAAUCAUCGCGACUACUCUAUGAGGAAGACACUACCAUGAUGACCAUUUUACAGAUGGGGAGACCGAGGCCAGGGUAGUUAAAUGACUUGUUCAGGGUCAUGCACCUCCUAGUGGCAGAGCUGGAGUCAAACCUAGGCAGCCUGGCUCUUCAACCUGUGCACUGCCUUUCAUUAGAUGAGUACAAGGUCAGAGUUGAGAGACCUGUAAGGAAGCCAUGGUCAACUGUUAACCUCAAAUCAAAGUGGCCGUCAAAGGGAAAAUCCCAAACUGCACUUGAAAUCAUGGCAGUGAUGCUCUCUCUCUGGCUGGUAUAGUCAAUAGCCGCCUCGCUCCACUGGGGACUUCUUGGAGGUUCACCUUCCUCCCUUCCCUGCCCUCUAAUAGGUAGACAUGUGACUGCACGGAACAGCAGCAGCAGGGAGGGCAGAAAGGAUAGGCAGAGCUCACACAAGCUGGAAACUGUGUGUUCUUAAAAAUGUACUCAGUUAUUUUCUCUGGUGUGGAGAGCAGUAAAUUAUGUGGUUUGGAAGCUACUACUACACUACCAUUUCCUGAAAGAGCUUUCUAGCACGGCCUGUCACAGACACAUAUUUACAAGUAUGCCUCAGUCUCUCUCUGAGAACACAGACGAAUACUGAGCUUUAUUAGUUGGAAAAAUAUGCUAAGAUUCAACCAGACAAGCAUGUUUUAAAAAUUCUAUUACUAUGGUUAAACUUUUAUAAACAAAUGUUAGAGUUAAUUUAAAAACAUUUAUAUUUGGACAUGCAACCAUACUCAAGUGCCUUGUAACAUAUUAAAUAGGCCGUUUUAGAUCAUUAUUAAUGUUCCAGACAGAAAGCUGCUCAUGCUCCCAACAAGUGACAGGUUAGCGUGACCCAUCACAUACCGUCCAUCUGCAUCUUCUUUGGCUGCAUAGAGGGGGAAGACAUAGAAGAAGUCACCCGGAAGUUUGCAGGGAGAGUCUCUGCUGACCCAGCAGCUAAGCCACGAAUGUCCUUUGGUCUAAACUUUUUUCUCCAUGAAGGUGCUCUCCUAAAGCUUUUAUCAUCAUCCUGGUAAAUUAAGGAACAAAAAACAAGAUUCAUUUAAAAAAUAAAGGUCAGAGAUGUAAAGUUACAUGUCCUUUAAAAUGACUGCUGAACUCGAGAAUGUAUUCUUGUUCACAUGUAUUUAAUCCCUUCUUGAUGACCACACAAUAUAUUGCCCAACCUGGAACUUCAGCGUGAAACGGGGCAUGGUGAUGGUCCGGCUGGGCCUCAGCUGGCGAAGUGAGGUCGGUGCUGGGCCAUGAGGAUGUGCUCCUUCUCCCCAGCAUCAUGUUCUACUUCUUACACCUUGUAGGAGUCACUUUCUUGCUACGUAAUAUCUUUUUAUUUAUCUUAAAAAGUUUAUUUUUCAUUUUUAUUUACUUUUUUACAGACAGAGUCUAGAUCUGUUGCCCAGGCUAGAAUGCAGUGGUGUGAUUAUAGCUCACUGUAACCUCAAACUCUUGGGCUCAAGCCAUCCUCCCACCGCAGCCUCCUAAGUAGCUGGAACUACAGGUGUGCCCCUACCACAUGCAGCUCUACAAACAAUUUUUAAGCUAGAAACAAUUUUAUCUUAUGCCAGGAUAUAGCAACAAGUGCUUCAUCUUUAGAGGUGGUCUUCUAUUCUCUCUGUCAAACUCAACUUUUCUUAAGGUCCAAUUAAGAGACUCCUAAUCGUGUAGAACAAAUGAGUCAUGGUUUUAAGGGGAAAUUAACAUUUUGUUUUUAAUAUACUUCUGAAACAUGCCACGCCACCUAUGCACAGGAGUAUGGGGGUACACUCUGGACUGGGGUAGGAUACCUACUGGUCCCCAAAACCCAACUUACAGACUCUGUUCCUAAGCUGCAACCAAUGUUUUAUGAUGUGAAAACCAUUUUUGAGGGAUGUCAAAAAUUAAAUAGCAAAAAUAAAAACAAAACUACCUUCUU